AGUUUAAUAAAAAAAUAAGUUUCAAAGACUGUAGUGGUUUCUACAAUCAGGAUGUUUUGUAGUAGAGAUCCGUAUUUACACAACUAAUCAAUUACUUGAUUUGUAGCAAACACUUGCGUAUAAAUUUUGCAAUGUCUUUCUCUCCGUAGGACCUUUUUGGUGCUGUUUAAUGAGAACACUGCAAAACAUGGGAAGUAAUUUAUUUUUUCAAAAUAUUCAUUCUGUAAUUGUUAGUAGAUGAUAUGUGAUCCUGUAUGUGAAAUCUAGGCUGAAGUCUCAUGAUCUAAUGAGAAUAGGAGCGUGAACAUUUGCUUUCAGUUAUUAAUUUCACCAUGAUUUCAAUUGUUCACAUGUUGUUACUAUUAAAGAUAUUAAGGUUAAAUAUAAAACAGUAACUUACUAAAUAAAAAAUGACUUUAGCUUGGUUUUCACAGGCAGGGUCACAGAAAUGACUAUCAUGAACUGAACAUGAACAUUUAUACCACUACAUGUAAUCCACAGCCUCAACAAACAGUCCAGAGUACAUUCUAGGCAGUCUGGAGGGCUAGCUUCCUGUUGUGACAUACCCGCAGGAGCAGAUCUGUAUAUCCAGAUUUUUAUCACAGACUGCAAACAUUCACAUGAGAUGAGUAUCCAGAACCCUUAUCUUUUCCUGAUAACAAGACUGAUGUGAGGGUGACGUUAAGAAGCUUGUGGGUGGCGGUGUUCCCUAUAUUCUGAAGGAGUGAGAACUUCAUGAACCACCUGCUGACAUUGGCAUUGCGAUUGGGGAUUAACGUUUUAAACCGUUUGACUUCAGUAACAUCAGUUUGUGCCCUGAUUCUGCGUAUGAUGUACAUUAUCAACCUGGCUUAUCUGAAACUCCUUCAAAUCACUUUUGAGGUGUUCCUGAAA